rnacentral:rRNA from 1 species
UACGAACUGUGCAAACGUUAUUCGGAUUCACUGGGCUUAAAGGGUGCGUAGGCGGCCAUGUAAGUAGGGUGUGAAAUCCCCCGGCUUAACCGGGGAACUGCGCCCUAAACUGUGUGGCUUGAGUGAGAUAGGGGUGUGUGGAACUUCCGGUGGAGCGGUGAAAUGUGUUGAUAUCGGAAGGAACGCCGGUGGCGAAAGCGACACACUGGGUCUCAACUGACGCUGAGGGCACGAAAGC